rfam:Bacillus sp. SA2-6 scf7180000001115, whole genome shotgun sequence.
GGCGGUGUAGCUCAGCUGGCUAGAGCGUACGGUUCAUACCCGUAAGGUCGGGGGUUCGAUCCCCUCCGCCGCUA